AUUGAACGCUGGCGGCAGGCCUAACACAUGCAAGUCGAACGAGUGGCGGACGGGUGAGUAAUGUCUGGGACCCUGCCUGAUGGAGGUGGAUAACUACUGGAAACGGUAGCUAAUACCGCAUACCAUCGGAUGUGCCCAGAUGGGAUUAGCUUGUUGGUGGGGUAACGGCUCACCAAGGCGACGAUCCCUAGCUGUUCUGAGAGGAUGACCAGCCACACUGGAACUGAGACACGGUCCAGACUCCUACGGGAGGCAGCAGUGGGGAAUAUUGCACAAUGGGCGCAAGCCUGAUGCAGCCAUGCCGCGUGUAUGAAGAAGGCCUUCGGGUUGUAAAGGACUUUCAGCGGGGAGGCGUUACCCGCAGAAGAAGCACCGGCUAACUCCGUGCCAGCAGCCGCGGUAAUUC
rnacentral:rRNA from 1 species